AAGUUUAGGUUAAUACAAACCAAGAGCCUUCAAAGCCCUAAACACGAGCACCAACCCUCAUAACUUC
rnacentral:tRNA from 1 species